rnacentral:rRNA from 1 species
CAGCCGCCGCGGUAAUACGAAGGUCCCGAGCGUUGUUCGGAAUCACUGGGCGUAAAGGGAGCGUAGGCGGCGUGGUAAGUCAGAUGUGAAAUCCCGGGGCUCAACCCCGGAAUUGCAUCCGAUACUGCCGUGCUAGAGGAUUGGAGAGGUAGCUGGAAUUCUUGGUGUAGCAGUGAAAUGCGUGGAGAUCAAGAGGAACACUCGUGGCGAAAGCGAGCUACUGGACAAUAUCUGACGCUGAGGCUCGAAGGCCAGGGUAGCGAAAGGGAUUAGAUACCCGCGUAGUCCCUGUCUCUUAUAC